GUUUGUGCAAAGUAUUUAUUUACUGUUUUCCUGAAACUUAUUUGAAAACAAAACCUUGCUAUGCCUCUUCUCACAAGCCUCUCAUCCUAGAUUGUUCCUGUAUUCAUGGCUAAAAGCUCUAUGAACAUUUACUGUAAAAAUUCAUUCUUCUGCAAUUGCCAAGGAGGAAUUUCAAUUGCACAUGAUACCCAAAGCCAGUUCAUCUCAAGAAAGGCCUAGCUUCAUCAAUGUCCAGCCUCCAGAGGGCCUUCCCAGGAGGGUAUAGGUUAAUACAAGCAAGUGGUGGUCUGCAUAGCUGAGCAGAAUCUGCUAUGUUUCUGAUAAAUUGUGAAGAGUCACAGACCUUUGUCUAAUGAAGGGCCUCAAGCUCCUACUGGUAAGAAUUUGACCUUUUAUUCAAAUUAAAAUGGGAAACCUCUGCAAGGUUUGAA
rnacentral:lncRNA from 1 species